rnacentral:rRNA from 1 species
AGCCAAACAAGUAUUAAAGGCGACGCCUGCCCAGUGAACAAUUAAACGGCCGCGGUACCCUAACCGUGCAAAGGUAGCAUAAUCAUUUGUCUACUAAUUAUAGACCUGUAUGAAAGGCAAAAUGAGGGCCUAGCUGUCUCUUAUAGUUGAUCAAUUAAACUGAUCUUCCAGUUAAAAAGCUGGGAUACAAUCAUAAGACCAGAAGACCCUGUGAAGCUUAAACUUAACCAUUAAAUCAAAUAAUGAUAACUUUCGGUUGGGGCGACCUUGGAAAAAAAAAGAACUUCCAAUAUAGUGACUAUAACCCACUACCCUAGGCCUACAAGCCAAUAAAGACCCAGUAUAGCUGAUAAAAGAACCAAGUUACUCCAGGGAUAACAGCGCAAUCUUCUUCAAGAGCCCAUAUCAAAAAGAAGGUUUACGACCUCGAUGUUGGAUCAGGACAUCCCGAUGGUGCAACCGCUAUCAAAGGUUCGUUUGUUCAACGAUUAAUAGUCCU